UGUAUGUAUGUUACAUCAGAACUUUUGACUGGGUGGACCGAUUUCGACAAAUUUUCUUUUAAUCGAAAGGUGGUGUGUGCCAAUUGGUCCCAUUUAAAUUUAUUUGAGAUCUAACAACUACUUUUCGAGCUAUAUCUAAUAAUGCGUUUUUACUUGACGCUUUUUUCGUCUACCUACGUUGUAUUAUACCGCAUAACUUUCUACUGGAUGUACGGAUUUUGA
rnacentral:misc_RNA from 1 species